CAGCCGCCGCGGUAAUACGUAGGGCGCAAGCGUUAUCCGGAAUUAUUGGGCGUAAAGAGCUCGUAGGCGGUUUGUCGCGUCUGCCGUGAAAGUCCGGGGCUCAACCCCGGAUCUGCGGUGGGUACGGGCAGACUAGAGUGAUGUAGGGGAGACUGGAAUUCCUGGUGUAGCGGUGAAAUGCGCAGAUAUCAGGAGGAACACCGAUGGCGAAGGCAGGUCUCUGGGCAUUAACUGACGCUGAGGAGCGAAAGCAUGGGGAGCGAACAGGAUUAGAUACCCCGGUAGUCCCUGUCUCUUAUAA
rnacentral:rRNA from 1 species